CGCGGGGUGGAGCAGUUCGGUAGCUCGUCGGGCUCAUAACCCGAAGGUCACAGGUUCAAAUCCUGUCUCCGCAA
rnacentral:tRNA from 1 species